AUUGAACGCUGGCGGCAGGCCUAACACAUGCAAGUCGAGCGGCAGCGGGAAAGUAGCUUGCUACUUUUGCCGGCGAGCGGCGGACGGGUGAGUAAUGCCUGGGGAUCUGCCCAGUCGAGGGGGAUAACUACUGGAAACGGUAGCUAAUACCGCAUACGCCCUACGGGGGAAAGCAGGGGACCUUCGGGCCUUGCGCGAUUGGAUGAACCCAGGUGGGAUUAGCUAGUUGGUGAGGUAAUGGCUCACCAAGGCGACGAUCCCUAGCUGGUCUGGGAGGAUGAUCAGCCACACUGGAACUGAGACACGGUCCAGACUCCUACGGGAGGCAGCAGUGGGGAAUAUUGCACAAUGGGGGAAACCCUGAUGCAGCCAUGCCGCGUGUGUGAAGAAGGCCUUCGGGUUGUAAAGCACUUUCAGCGAGGAGGAAAGGUUGGUAGCUAAUAACUGCCAGCUGUGACGUUACUCGCAGAAGAAGCACCGGCUAACUCCGUGCCAGCCGCCGCCGUAA
rnacentral:rRNA from 1 species